rnacentral:Y_RNA from 1 species
GGCUGGUCCGAAGGUAGUGAGUUAUCUCACUUGAUUGUUCAGUCAGUUACAGAUUGAACUCCUUGGUCUACUACUGUCCCUGCUUAUUACUGUACUUGACUAGUCUUAC